rnacentral:rRNA from 1 species
UACGAAGGGGGCUAGCGUUGCUCGGAAUCACUGGGCGUAAAGGGUGCGUAGGCGGGUCUUUAAGUCCGGGGUGAAAUCCUGGAGCUCAACUCCAGAACUGCCUUUGAUACUGAGGAUCUCGAGUCCGGGAGAGGUGAGUGGAACUCCGAGUGUAGAGGUGAAAUUCGUAGAUAUUCGGAAGAACACCAGUGGCGAAGGCGGCUCACUGGCCCGGUACUGACGCUGAUGUGCGAAAGCGUGGGGAGCAAACAGG